rnacentral:rRNA from 1 species
AAAGGAAUUGACGGGGACCCGCACAAGCAGCGGAGCAUGUGGUUUAAUUCGAAGCAACGCGAAAAACCUUACCAAGGCUUGACAUAUGUAUGACCACUAUAGAGAUAUAGUAUUCCUUCGGGACAUAUAUACAGGUGGUGCACGGUUGUCGUCAGCUCGUGUCGUGAGAUGUUGGGUUAAGUCCCGCAACGAGCGCAACCCCUAUGAUUAGUUGCCAAUAUUAAGUUAGGAACUUUAGUCAGACUGCCGUGGAUAACACGGAGGAAGGUGGGGAUGACGUCAAAUCAUCAUGCCCCUUACGCCUUGGGCUACACACGUGCUACAAUGGCUAUUACAAAGAGCAGCGAAACGGUAACGUCAAGCGAAUCUCAUAAAGAUAGUCUCAGUUCGGAUUGUGGGCUGCAACCCGCCCACAUGAAGCAGGAGUUGCUAGUAAUCCCGAAUCAGCAUGUCGGGGUGAAUGCGUUCCCGGGUCUUGCACACACCGCCCGU